GACGGAGGAUGCAAGUGUUAUCCGGAAUCACUGGGCGUAAAGCGUCUGUAGGUGGUCAAAUAAGUCAACUGUUAAAUCUUGAGGCUCAACCUCAAAAUCGCAGUCGAAACUAUUAGACUAGAGUAUAGUAGGGGUAAAGGGGAAUUUCCAGUGGAGCGGUGAAAUGCGUAGAGGAUUGGAAAGAACACCGAUGGCGAAGGCACUUUACUGGGCU
rnacentral:rRNA from 1 species